UUGUUCAGGAAUUGUUCCCAGGUAGAAGGGCCAAAGGUUUCCUCAUCACCCAGUAACAUUUCCUCCGGCAGGGUAGCAUUUACUCAAUAUCCAAUUGGUGGUAUCCAAAUGAUACCACCGAUUGAAAAGGGUUGAUACUUUGAAGCCUACAUGCUUCCUUUUGUUAGGUGAACUAAUUUAUGAGGAAGGAAAAUCCCUGUAAUUAAGCCUUUGGGUGCUUCAAUAUCUGGGUUACAGAAAUGAAGCCUUAAGUCAGUAAAACAAUCAAGAGUAAAAAUUAUGUUUGUUCAAAGAUUUGUUAUUACAGAGCUAUAGGAAUAAAGACAGCAUGAUACUGGCAUAAAAACUGAUGUGUUGAUCAAUGGAAUUUAAUUGAAAAUCCAGGAUAAAUGCACCAUACUUAAGGACAUUGACAAAGAAGCCUUGCUAUAUGCAAGCACAAAUGCAGAUGGAACCAAAGUAAUACAUUGCUAAGUUUUAGAGAUGAUGUUGCACUCAAAUCUAUUGCAUCUGGAGGCUAUGGAUGACGCUCUGAUGAGAUUUAAUGUGCUGGCUCAUCAUCAUACUCCACAAGGUAUCUUCUACAUUCCUUUUUCUUUAAGAUACCUUGGACUCCUUUGGUCCAGUUCACUGUCCACUCCCAUGAUGCCCCAGCAGACUCUCCAAAUCUAUACUUUUGCUUUCAUCUUCUAGUUGAUGUGACAUGAACGUGUAUGCAAAAAGAGCAUUCUAAGGUCAUUUCUUUCUCCAUUAUGUUUGUGGUUUCUGUAUCCUAUAUCCUUUGGCAUAUAGGUACUUAUCAAAGGAUAUAUAUGGUAAAUUAUGCCUUUUCUAACCCAGAAAGCCUGACUUAUAGAAAGCUUUGUAAUAUUUACUAUUGUUAACUGUUCUAAGCAGAAAGCAUGUUUUAUUUAAAUAAUGCCUUUAUGUAGCUGACAAUUUCACUCUUAUUGUCUGACCAUAACUUUGACUUCAAAUUUCUUUAUCACAGGUUGGUUUCUAAAAUGGCAAAAUGAAAAAAAAAAUUUUUUUUAGCAAACUUCGCUUACCUCAUCAUUUGAUUUGCAGGGAUUUUUAUUAUAUCUUGGUGGGAAAGAACUGGGAACAGUGUUAAGAGUCUAGCUUGAUAAUUUGCUCUGAGGUCAAGAAUCAAAGCAAAUGGAAAGUUCCAACAGCUAUAAAACCUCAAGCACUUCACAGUAAACCAUUUCCUCCAAGGAGACUCCAUUUCCUAAAGGUAUUACAAACUGCAAAACAGCACCAGCAGCUUGGGAUCCAAUAUUUAACACCUAAAAUUCAGGAUGAUAUUUCAAAUAUAAAACACAACAGUUAGUUACAGAAUCCAGUAUAUGUGAACAUAAUUUUAUAACUGACUAGAUUAUCCCAAACUUCAUGUUCCUCUUUCUCAGGAAGUUUCCUUUUUCUUCGGCAAUAACAGAACAAAGAAUGCUAUGAAUCUGGGUAUUAAAAGUACAUUGCUUGAAGAAUCACAUAGGUGUGUUACAUCAAAGUGAGAAAAAUCUCUAUUGACUUUAGAUAGGACUUCAUAAAAAUGGCAGUCUAUCCAGGCAUUCCACAUGUGAACUUUGAGGUACUUGGUAGUGGGAGAUUGUGAUUUGCUUAUAUGGUAUAUGGCCCUCAGGAAGAAAUUACACUAUCAGAGCUGAGUUCAUCAUUCCCUUGGUUCAUUUAUAAAUGGAAAGGUCUUGUGACUGUGCCAAGAAGCUCUACCCUAGUCAGACUUGAAUCAUUUGUCUUGCCUUUUCACAAAAUUAAAUUAUGAUUUUGUAAUUAGGAUAUCAUUCAUCACUGGCCAUAAAUGUUUCUUGCUGCCCUUAUAUGGUGGCCAGAAUGUUUUAUAUGAGAGGAAGAUACCAUUUAGGUUAUUUAAGUCAGAUUGUUUUCGAUUGUUAAAGUUACAGCCAGUAGAGGAGUUUUUUGUUGUUGUUUUGGUUUGCACUUUUUUUUUUUUUUCAAAUCUAAAGGGGUGUUCUCAUGGAAAUCUGAAAGAAAAAAUUUAACAGAUAGGUGUCCACCCGGCCGGGGAGGGCUUUUGCUGACCAUCUGCGGGAGACAUCUUGGUUCCCGGACCCCACCAAGACUACUCUGCACAGGCGAGAGUGUGGACUACAGAAGCUAACAGCUUCUGGGACAGGCAGGAGCCACAGUGCUUCUAAGGCAGCCCCCUUUUUGGGCUCCAGACAUCCGGGCACCUUCCCUGCCAGAGGAUAGGUGUUUGCCCGGCCCCGGAGGGCUUUGCCUGAGCAUCUGCAGGAGACAUCUUGGCUCCCGGACUCCACCAAGACUGUUCUGCACAGGUGAGACUGUAGACUACAGAAGCUAACAGCUUCUGGGACACGUCCUGUUUCAGGCCUUCAUCAUCUGCCAGGAAGCAAGUCUGAACGCCAGAUAUCUGUGCACCUUCCCUGAAAGAGGAGAGCCUGCCUGCAGAGAGUGCUCUGACCACUGAAACUCAGGAGAGAGCUAGUCUCCCAGGUCUGCUGGUAGAGAACAAAAGAAUCACAAUAGGAACAAGCUCUAACCAGAAACAACUAUAACAACUGACUCCAGAGUUUACCAAAUGGUGAAAGGCAGACGUAAGAAUCUUACUAACAAAAUCCAAGACCACUCACCAUCAUCAGAACCCAGUACUCCCACCUCAGCUAGUCCAGGGCACCCCAACACAUCCGAAAACCUAGACCCGGAUUUAAAGGCAUAUCUCAUGAUGAUGGUAGAAGACAUCAAGAAGGUCUUUAAUAACUCACUUAAAGAAAUAGAGGAGAACACUGCUAAAGAGUUGCAAGCCCUUAUAGGAAAACAGGAAAACACAUUGAAACAGAUGAUGGAAAUAAAACCAUACUAGACCUAAAAAGGGAAGUAGACACAAUAAAGAAAACUCAAAGUGAGGAAAUGCUGGAGAUAGAAACCAUAGGAAAGAAAUCUGGAACCAUAGAUACGAGCAUUAGCAACAGAAUACAAGAGAUGGGAGAGAGAAUCUCAGGUGCAGAAGAUCCCAUAGAGAACAUCGGCACAACAAUCAAAGAAAAUACAAAAUGC
rnacentral:lncRNA from 1 species